rnacentral:rRNA from 1 species
UACGAAGGGUGCUAGCGUUGCUCGGAAUCACUGGGCGUAAAGGGCGCGUAGGCGGCGUUUUAAGUCGGGGGUGAAAGCCUGUGGCUCAACCACAGAAUGGCCUUCGAUACUGGGACGCUUGAGUAUGGUAGAGGUUGGUGGAACUGCGAGUGUAGAGGUGAAAUUCGUAGAUAUUCGCAAGAACACCAGUGGCGAAGGCGGCCCGAUGGGCAGUGGCUGACGCUGAGGCGCGACAGCGUGGGGAGCAAACAGG